CCUAGGAAAUGAUGCUAAUUGUGACAUCGCAUAAGCCUGGUUCAGAACUAUCGUGACAGUGAGAUCUGCCAGGUAACAGGCAUUUCUGAUGCUUAUCUGGAACCGGAGCUCCACCCUCCCCUAUUCCACACAAGUGGAUGCCAUCUGAGAGUUUGUUCUUCUACAUCAAUCAGGGAUUUUUCUCCCACAGCAAACCAAGGACUCUGGGACCGACGGUGAUAGCUCACGGCCUGAACCUAACCUGUAGUCAAGCUAGAUGACAAGCAUUUCUGCGGACCCCUUGGAAAAGCUUUCUCUAGUGUGCAGCUCCAGAAACUAAGGGAGAAGAGAGUUGAGCCAAACCUGAUAUGAUAGAAAUGCCCUGGAUUGUAGAUUCAUGGAGAAAGAAUUUUGACUCCGGCCUGUCACUCGGCCUCCAGUUCCACCCUCAUCCUGUUACUCUCAGAUGCUCUCCUGCCUUUCCACACAUCUGCUUUCCAGUCUCCUGUAAUCUCCACCUGGCACCUGACACCUUUUGAAAUCAAUUCACUCAAGAUUCUACCCACAAGAGUUGAUCAUCCGGUUCUUCCAGAUGGAAACCAGCUUGCCCAGAGACUCUAUCAGGAUGGGAGAUCGCAUAUUCCCGAGCCCGGUUACUCAUUUAACACAGCUUCGCAAGAGCUGGAAUCCUUCUGGUUGUGUCCAUUUCUUUGUCCAGAGCAACGCAUGAAUGAUUAUCCGGAUGUUUCAGGGGAGAGUGGAACUGGGGCAAUGAGGACGAAUCAAGAUGUCACCACACAUCUGAAAACUGGCCUCCAGCCUUCUGUGGGAUUUUCUCAACAGAUCAUGGGCCUCUCGCCACGGAGAUGUUGGCCUCAGAAGCAAUGGGGAGAAGGUGAGAGUUCCAGGCCAUGUUGAAUACGGGAAACAGAACACUCAGAGAACUGCUUUGACAGAAGUGACGUGUGGGUAAAGCCUGGUAAUGGGAAUGGACUGGAGGGGUGUGUGUGUGUGUGUGUGUGUGUGUGUGUGUGUGUGUGUGUAUGUGAGAGAGAGAGAGAGAGAGAGGGGUAUCUCCAGUUAUUCUUUGUAUAUUUAAGUUGGGUCAUGAUAGUUGCUACAAUGGAUAUUUUCAUUUUUAUAAUG
rnacentral:lncRNA from 1 species